UACGAAGGGGGCGAGCGUUGUUCGGAUUUACUGGGCGUAAAGGGCGCGCAGGCGGCUCAUUUUGUCAGGCGUGAAAUCCCCGGGCUCAACCUGGGAACUGCAUCCGAAACUGCCUUGCUAGAGUAUGGGAGAGGGAAGUGGAAUUUCCGGUGUAGCGGUGAAAUGCGUAGAUAUCGGAAGGAACAUCAGUGGCGAAGGCGACUUCCUGGACCAAUACUGACGCUGAGGCGCGAAAGCUAGGGGAGCAAACGGG
rnacentral:rRNA from 1 species